rnacentral:rRNA from 1 species
UACGUAGGGUGCAAGCGUUGUCCGGUAUUAUUGGGCGUAAAGGGCUCGUAGGCGGUCUGUCACGUCGGGAGUGAAAACUCAGGGCUUAACCCUGAGCCUGCUUCCGAUACGGGCAGACUAGAGGUAUGCAGGGGAGAACGGAAUUCCUGGUGUAGCGGUGAAAUGCGCAGAUAUCAGGAGGAACACCGGUGGCGAAGGCGGUUCUCUGGGCAUUACCUGACGCUGAGGAGCGAAAGUGUGGGGAGCGAACAGG